CCUACGGGUGGCAGCAGUGAGGAAUAUUGGUCAAUGGGCGCUAGCCUGAACCAGCCAAGUAGCGUGAAGGAUGACUGCCCUAUGGGUUGUAAACUUCUUUUAUAUGGGAAUAAAGUCCAGUAUGUAUACUCUUUUGCAUGAUCCUUAUGAAUAAGGACUGGUCAACCCCGUCCCAGCAGCAGCGGUAAUACGGAGGACCCGAGCGUUAUCCGGAUUUAUUGGGUUUAAAGGGAGCGUAGGCGGGUUGUUAAGUCAGUUGUGAAAGUUUGGGGCUCAACCGUAAAAUUGCAGUUGAUACUGGCAUCCUUGAGUACGGUAGAGGUAGGCGGAAUUCGUGGUGUAGCGGUGAAAUGCUUAGAUAUCACGAAGAACUCCGAUUGCGAAGGCAGCCUGCUGGACUGUAACUGACGCUGAUGCUCGAAAGUGUGGGUAUCAAACAGGAUUAGAUACCCUUGUAGUC
rnacentral:rRNA from 1 species